UGUGGUUGGGAGAGCCAGUUCUUGGUGUGGUGGGAGAGCCAGUUCUGGUGGGUGGGAGAGCCAGUUCUUGGUGUGGGUGAGAGAGCCAGUUCUUAGGUGUGGGUGGGAGAGCCAGUUCUUGGUGUGGGUGAGAGAGCCAGUUCUUAGGUGUGGGUGGGAGAGCCAGUUCUUGGUGUGGGUGAGAGAGCCAGUUCUUGGUGUGGGUGGGAGAGCCAGUUCUUAGGUGUGGUUGGGAGAGCCAGUUCCCAGUCUAAGACAACCUUGAUUGUUUCCUCCAUUAGCUAAGUCAACAAUUAUGUUAUUGUUCCGGAAUUGUAACUCAACAAUUUAGGACUGUGUGAAAUAAAUGAUACACAAUAAUAGAGAAGGAAGUUCACCUCCAUCAUCAACAACACAUUCGGAUAACUUGUGGAUAAACUACUUUGUAAUACAUCUUCAUUACUGUAACUUUGUUAGAUUUUUCAUAAUAAAUGUUUAAAAUGAAGCAGAUUAUGUGUAAUGAAUUGUUUGGUUAGGUCAGGUCAGGUAAGGUUAAGUUAGGUUAGGUUAGUUUUGACUGUUAUCAUUAUGUUUUGUUGCCAGACAUAAGAGGGUUUGUUGUGGUGUGUCAGGAUGGCUGUACUGGUCCAUCUUAUCACUGAGUGCCUUAUGUGUAGUAUCUCUCUCUCUCUCUCUCUCUCUCUCUCUCUCUCUCUCUCUCUCUCUCAUGCUGUUAUUUGUGGUAAUAUUUAAUAAACUACUCUGUUUUAUCAUUAA